rnacentral:rRNA from 1 species
AGUCAUAAGAGUUUAUUUAUGGUGCUUUCUGCUCAAUGAAAUUUAAAUAGCCGCAGUACUUUGACUGUGCAAAGGUAGCAUAAUCGUUUGGCUUUUAAUUGGAGUCUAGUAUGAAUGAACAAUUGGGGAAGUACUAUAUCAGUAGAAUAAUCUAAAUUUACUUAUGAGGUGAAAAUUCCUUUGGUUAAAUAAUAGACGAGAAGACCCUUGAAAUUUUAAUAAUAAUUUAAAUUUUUUUUUGUUGGGGCGACAAAGUAGCAGUAUAACCUACAUUUAAUAACAUGUCAUUUCUAUAAAGGAAGGAUAAAUUACUCAAGGGAUAACAGCAUAAUUAGAAAUAGUUUGUGACCUCGAUGUUGGAUUAGGACAAUCUAACCCAGAAGGUAUUGAUUUAUGCUCUGUUCGAGCAAUAUUAUCCU